rnacentral:sRNA from 1 species
GAUGCCAGGGUCAAAAGGUCAAAAAGCCGUUCAUGCUUGCAUGAUAAGGUUUUUGAACUUGGGACCCGCCAAACAUGAGAAAGUAGCGAUUUACGUAGUAAAUCAGCGGAUUUCGAAUGUUUGUAGAAUUGCGGGAGCUGCUUUGCAGCGGAGCAAUUCGUAGGCAUC